UAGCUAAUGAAAUGAUGACGUAACGCAUGCAGCGAAAUAUUACGGGGAGAAGUUGCUACAUUUGGGAAUUUUACUCUGAUGCUGCGUAUAAAAGGCGCGAGUGUCAAGGUAAGGUUAUUCUACCGAAGUCAGUCAGGAUCAACACUUGUAUACUUUCUUCCAAAGUUUUUUCAGGUUUGUGUGUUUCCUUUUAUCUUAUUUAUCUUAUUUAUCCUCAAGAAAUAUGUCGGGUUUCAUUCCUAAUGUUUUGGUAUUUGGCCAUUCUUUUGUGAGCCGCUUAAAUGACGAUUUAAAUCAUGGUUUCGAUUCCCUUUCCAAACAAAAUUUUAACCUGGCCGAUUCAGGCUUGUACGUAUCUUUGAAGGGCACGGGCGGUCGAACUGUAGACAAAGUGUUUAAGUAUGAUAUUUCCUUCUAAAACCGGAUAUCGUCGUUUUGGAAAUAGGGACGAACGAUUUGUAAAACCUUUCUCCGGAGGUGGUCGGUUCGCGGAUAGACGAUCUCGUACGCUAUAUGCGUGACGAGUUAACCAUAAAGGUCAUUGCCGUGUGCCAAGUUAUAAAUAGGCACGUUCCGCAUUCCGAUACACCGGACCAUGCUUUUAAUGCAAAAGCUUCUAUUCUGCGACAGUAUUUGUCUGUCGUUUUGGCGAAUGAACGUGGCGUAUUUCUUUGGGACCAUCGUACAGUUGACAAUGGUAGAAUUGAUUUGUUGUUUCCUGAUGGGGUUCACUGCAACCCCCA